rnacentral:rRNA from 1 species
UACGGAGGGUGCAAGCGUUAUCCGGAAUCACUGGGUUUAAAGGGUGCGUAGGCGGCUUAAUAAGUCAGAGGUGAAAGGCUGUGGCUCAACCAUGGGAUUGCCUUUGAUACUGUUAGGCUUGAAUCAGGCUGAGGUUGGCAGAAUGUGGCAUGUAGCGGUGAAAUGCAUAGAUAUGCCAUAGAAUACCGAUUGCGAAGGCAGCUGACGGGCCCUUGAGUGACGUUGAGGCACGAAAGCGUGGGGAGCGAACAGG